rnacentral:lncRNA from 1 species
GAUUGUUGAUGCUACCUCCAAAGACAGAACAUGCCAAAAGAAGACUGACUGGGUGGAGGCUCUGCCUUGCCUCAAGAACCAUCCCCUGCAGAGCAUCCAGGGAGGUUUCUCGCCCCAAUAGCCUCACGGCACAGUACUCUUGGGCAGUAACUGGACACCUUUUAUUUGAAGAAACAAACUGAAGAAAAAAUGCUUCCUUAAGUGCUGACAGCCUUUUUAACCAAUACAUUUAAAAUUGUACAGAACAAAAAAAUAAAAUCAAAGACUGAUCUUGUACAGAUAUUAGUGUUACCAGCAUUCAUGUGGAAAUCAAGAGCAAAGACAAAAUAAUGUUAAACAAUUCUGUACCAUAACAUUUUCUGUAAUGAUACUGAAACUUAAUGAAUAAAAAAAUUCCUUGAUCA